rnacentral:lncRNA from 1 species
GUAAAUACAAUAUUCAUCUUAUGUGGCUGCUGGAAGAUGGUAUGAGAUAAUGCAGCUGCAGGUUGGGACCUUACCUGGACCUCUCAACUAGAACACCUACACAGCAUGGAGGCUGGAUUCUGAGGAAGAGCAUCCUGAAAGAGAGAGUCAGCUGGAAGCUGUGUCACCAUUUCUACACCCUCCUGGGAAGUCACACAAAGGAUGCUUCCUUUCUGAUGCGUUCUGUUGGCUAGAAGCAAGUCACUAAAGGAAAAGGGAAUUACAC